rnacentral:snRNA from 1 species
GUGCUCGCUUCAGCAGCACAUAUGCUAAAACUAGAACGAUACAGAGCAUGGCCCCUGCACAAGGAUGACACGCAAAUUCGUGAAGCUUUCCAUUAAAAA